UACGUAGGGUGCGAGCGUUGUCCGGAAUUACUGGGCGUAAAGAGCUCGUAGGUGGUUUGUCGCGUUGUUCGUGAAAACCUGAGGCUCAACCUCGGGCUUGCAGUGGGUACGGGCAGACUAGAGUGCGGUAGGGGUGACUGGAAUUCCUGGUGUAGCGGUGGAAUGCGCAGAUAUCAGGAGGAACACCAAUGGCGAAGGCAGAUCUCUGGGCCGCAACUGACGCUGAGGAGCGAAAGCAUGGGGAGCGAACAGG
rnacentral:rRNA from 1 species